UUUUUGUUUGGUUAGUUUUUAAUGCUUGUGUUUUCAAUCUGCUGACACCUUGCACUCAUUUGGUUUUGAUUUUAUUCAUCCUACAGGUGACUGCAUCGAAGGGACAUAACUUCACCUGAAGCUGUGAGAAAUGAGACCUAAGCUUGGACCAACUCAUUUGGCUCCCACAUCUAGAAAGAUGGGCUGUAUUCUAAUUAUGAAGCAUGUCGGACCUGUUCAUAGGCUGCUCUGGGGCACAAAGGAGUCAUUGAAUCAGCUUGAAGACUGCAUAGGAAAACUACAAAGUUUUGUACAGUUUAUGGAUGCAGCAUGAUCCUGAUUUGGAACAACACAUACAGACUGUCAACCACUUGCUGCUACAAAGUAUGUGCUCAAGUUAAUGUGCGCAAGCACAUGCUAAAUUUACUAUAUGCAUGUAUGUAGACAGAAGCCUACAAAAUUUCUUUUUUUAAUCAUUAAUUACUUUUAAAGGUCUGAUCCUUAACUUGAACUGAGUCAAAUAGCAUUUGAAAACUCUAGUGUACUUUUAAAUUAAUCAUGGACUUUGAAGAUAUUAUGCUUGAUAAUGCUCUAACACAAUUUAAAGUUAUAAUUGAUUUCGUCAGUUUGUGCUAGUGUAGAGGUCAGAGUUCUAUGUCUGCUAUAAUUAUUUGAACAACAACAGCAAAUGUAGCAUGGGGGCAGUUUUGCAGUUUGUUUCAGUGUUUUAAGUCCUCUUAUGUCUCUUUUUUGGUCUAAAAUUACGCUUUCUUAUUAAAAAAAGAAACAGAUCUGGUGCUUUAGAAGGUAAAGUGACUAAUAUUCUUUCUAAGUUUUGUACUGAAAUCUUUUUCAGGAUAUUUAAAAUUCGGAAUACUUAACUAGAUUGCUAUUUUAAGGCCUGUUCCAAAGGCGACUUAUGGUUUCAGUGAGCUACCAUCAGGCCUUAGUGACUCCUGGGAAAAUAAAUGAUCUGUGUGUUUUAAAUAAGAAUAUUAUAAUAUUUCCUGAAAUUUAUCCAAGAACCUAUUUUGAAGAGUUUACAACAGCAGACUUAAUUCAGUGUUCUAAAAGAUAAUUUUCUGUAACGGUUGUAGAUUCACUUAUAGCUAUCAAAUAUAGGAAGAUUUAAAAUGUUUUCUUUUUUAAUUUCAGUUAGUAAGAUUUAUUUCCAAAGAGGAGAUCAGCAGGACUUUUUUCUGAAAGGAUUUAAUUAAAGUUAGCAAGUAAUUUUGUGUUCUGCAGCAUGUUACAUAUUGUGAAAAGGUUAUAGAUUCACCCAGUGCAGUGCAUCAGAAGUAUAGGGGUGAUAGGUGAAGUUCUUUUUGUUGCAAGUGCUGAGAUAUAAUCAUUUAAAAGGUCGCUUGCACUCAAGAAUAGCAUUUAUUUAAUAAGCAACUUGUUUUGGGAUAUGCUGCAUUUUUAAAGGUUAAAACAGUGUCUUACUGACCAAUGUGAUCAGUGAUGAGUUUUUUUUUCUUUAAAAAAUGAUUCUGAAAGUUACUUUAGAUUUGAGUAUUUGUUAAAAUCCUGUGUGAUAUAUCAUCAUUUUGAAGGUUCAAAAUUUGAUAUAAUUAUUAGAACUUAAGAGGUUGGAGAUCUAGCUAGAAUUAAUUUGUUUCAAUUGUUAUGUGCUUUGCUACUGUAGUAAAACUAUAAUAAUUUUAAGUAUGGAAAUACUGGUUACAAUUUAUCACAGUGCACAGUGUGUUGCUGUGUAUGUCGACACUUGUUUUAGAAGGAAAAGUCAGUCAUCCGAAGUGAGGGAAAAAGAUUGAUUUUCGUGUUUUAUAAAGUGAUUUGGGAGUGACAUAGAUUAUGUAGGUAUGAAAGAGAAAAGUGGAUUAUAUUUUAAAUAGUAAUGUGAAAGACCAUAAAAUUAGAAUAGUGUUUCAGAGAACUGAGAAAGAAGAAUUUUAAAACAAUUAUUUAGUUCUUACUAUGUUUUUGCAGGGGAGUUCAUACUCAGUGACAAGUAUGCUCUGUGUUUAGAGAAGUUUUUCCUUUUUCUCUCAAAAGAGUACAAACUGGCAUCAAUUUUCUUUAAGUCUCAGCAUUUUCUACUGACAAUGCUCAAUAGUCCAUAGACAUCAAGGAGGAAAGAGCUUUUAUAACUGCUCUUUGCUGAAUAAGAUGUUAUGGUCAGUUUUCUCCUUGAUCCUUAAACUUGCUAGUAUUGUUAAUAAUUUGCUUUAAAUGUUUUUUUGUUUGUUUGUUUGUUUGGGGUUUUUUUUGUACCAUUUUCCUGGUACAAAUUGUAGAAAUUAUACUAGCUGUGAAAACAAAAGUAUUUUAGUGAGAUGGUGUUGAUCAGUUCUAUCCAUUGAACGUUACUUAUGUGAGUACGAAAAAGAAAAAAGAAAAAACGCAUGAGGAAUUAACAGAAAUGAACGGCUUACAUUUGCUUUGGGAUAAUUUUUACUCAAAUAAAGCCAUCCUCCUUAAUUUGCCUCGCUUUCCAUUUAAAAGAGGGCAAAAUCUAUUUCCUGGGCAAUUUUGCACAGC
ensembl:lncRNA